GAUUCUUUCUGAUUUGGUCUUGUGGUCUCUUUCUGCAGAGUUCCUAUAAACUGUGCCCCACCUAAUGGGCCUCGGGGAUUUGGUGGUGGAUGUGUACAGCACGCCUUUCACAAGAUUCUUCUUUAUCCUGGCAGGUGGCCUCAUGCCUGAGGGGCAGUGGUCACCAGGAGGUGUUUGUAUAAGGCAGAUGUCUGGAUUGAUCACAUUGAGGAACUGGAAGGAGGUGGAGAGCUGGAAACUGUGUUAAGGGUGAGUAAGCCCUGCCUCUGGUAGGAAAAAGUUAAACCUCUGUUGGGAAUGGUAACAUGGAAUUAUAAGAGUUCACUACAAGCUGCAUCCUAGGCCUUUCUCCUACUCUCACUGCCACAGAAACCCAGUGGUUCCGGGUUAGUGGGUCCGCAUGUUGGUGCAUGUUCGUGUGUGUGCGUGCAUGCGUGUGUUUGUGCAUGCAUGUGCACAUAUGUGUGUCUGAGGUCUUUCUUUUCACCCUUAAACCCCAACAGGCUAGUGACAGGUUGUGGGCCCAGGGCAGCAGGGGCCACUGAUCUUCAGGGGCCUCAUGGCUCAAAUGACAUAGCAGGGCCCAGGCAGGGUUAUGGUUGGAGAGACACCUGGGGACCCAGGGACGGCCCUGUGGCCCAGGCAGGGAUGUGGCAGGAACCUCUAACAGAGCCUGCACCUGACAAGGACCAG
rnacentral:lncRNA from 1 species